rnacentral:rRNA from 1 species
AUUGAACGCUGGCGGCAGGCCUAACACAUGCAAGUCGAACGGAGUGGCGCCCGGGUGCGUAAUGUAUAGCUAAUCUGCCCUACACUAGAGGACAACAGUUGGAAACGGCUGCUAAUACUCUAUAGUGUAGGAUGAGGCUAUAUUGUAUCAGCUAGUUGGAGGGGUAACGGCACACCAAGGGGAUGAUCAGUAGACGGUCUGAGAGGAUGAACGGCCACAUGGGGAUUGAGACACGGCCCAUACUCCUACGGGAGUGAGCAGUAGGGAAGAUUGCUCAAUGGGGGAAACCCUGAAGCCGCAACGCCGCGUGGAGUAUGACACUUUUCGGAGCGUAAACUCCUUUUGUUAGGGAAGCGGUACCUAACGAAUAAGCACCGGCUAACUCCGUGCCAGCAGCCGCGGUAAUUC